ensembl:piRNA 21ur-4756 ncRNA
UACUUGUAAUGACAUUUCAAG